rnacentral:rRNA from 1 species
UCUUAUGUACAUGCCUACAACAUAGCAUUAAUGCACCGGAUCCCAUUAGAAAUAUGUAGUUAAGCAUUCUCGGGCUAGAGUAGUACUGGGAUGGGUGAUUGUUGGGCUCUAAAUAUGUCUUAA